rnacentral:rRNA from 1 species
UACGUAGGGCGCAAGCGUUGUCCGGAAUUAUUGGGCGUAAAGAGCUCGUAGGCGGCUUGUCACGUCGGCUGUGAAAUCCCGGAGCUCAACUCCGGGUCUGCAGUCGAUACGGGCGGACUGGAGUACUGCAGGGGAGACUGGAAUUCCUGGUGUAGCGGUGAAAUGCGCAGAUAUCAGGAGGAACACCGGUGGCGAAGGCGGGGUCUCUGGGCAGUAACUGACGCUGAGGAGCGAAAGCGUGGGGGAGCGAACAGG